rnacentral:tRNA from 1 species
GGGGAUAUAAUUCAGUGGUAGAGUGCUUGCCUUGCAUGUGCAAGGGCCUGGAUUCUAUCUCCA